UGUAGCCUGGGCAGUCACUCUGGCUGUGUGUGUGUGUGUGUGUGUGUCUGUGCGCGCAUGUGUGUGUGCAUGUGUGUGUGCAUGGUCGCGUCACCACCUUCAUCCCUGACCGUCUGCUUACCGGUAGCAGCCCUCGCCUCCACCGCCGCCACUGUUGCCGCCCGUCCACCGCUUUGACUGGAGGGGGGUCUUGCAGAAAGGCGCUCUGCUGUUCGCCUCCUUAAACAUGUUUCGAAACCCGUGGAUCUCUAGUUACCACGUGAACCUCAUGCAGCCCUGCGGCCCAGGAUUUGGAUCCAAAUCUCCUGCCAAACUUUGCAACUCAGCCUCGUUUCCAACAGAAGCCUUAAGUUUUCAGACCGACUUCUCCUUGGGUGACAAGACCGCCUUGGUCAAGAGUGUUUCAGAUACAGAUGCCAAACUUCUGGUGGCCCUUCCCAAGGGUGUGUAUUCAUUCAACACACGUGACAACUCAAAACAGUCACAACUAGUUAGUUAAUUUAAUGAU
rnacentral:lncRNA from 1 species